CCUACGGGCGGCUGCAGUGGGGAAUAUUGGACAAUGGGGGAAACCUGAUCCAGCCAUGCCGCGUGUGUGAAGAAGGCCCUCGGGUUGUAAAGCACUUUCAGUGAGGAAGAACGCCUGGUGGUUAAUACCCAUCAGGAAAGACAUCACUCACAGAAGAAGCACCGGCUAACUCCGUGCCAGCAGCCGCGGUAAUACGGAGGGUGCGAGCGUUAAUCGGAAUUACUGGGCGUAAAGCGCGCGUAGGUGGCUUGAUAAGCCGGUUGUGAAAGCCCCGGGCUCAACCUGGGAACGGCAUCCGGAACUGUCAAGCUAGAGUGCAGGAGAGGAAGGUAGAAUUCCCGGUGUAGCGGUGAAAUGCGUAGAGAUCGGGAGGAAUACCAGUGGCGAAGGCGGCCUUCUGGACUGACACUGACACUGAGGUGCGAAAGCGUGGGUAGCAAACAGGAUUAGAUACCCUGGUAGUC
rnacentral:rRNA from 1 species